AGCAGCCGCGGUAAUUCCAGCUCCAAUAGCGUAUAUUAAAGUUGCUGCAGUUAAAAAGCUCGUAGUUGAAUUUCGGGAUCAGUACGCCGGUCGUGCCUCGGUAUGUACUGGUGUUACUGGUUCCUACCUUCUGACGAACCGUCAUGUCAUUAAUUUGGUGUGGCGGGGAAUCAGGACUGUUACUUUGAAAAAAUUAGAGUGUUUAAAGCAGGCUCGCGCUUGAAUACAUUAGCAUGGAAUAAUGAAAUAGGACGUUCGAUCCUAUUUUGUUGGUUUCUAGGAUUGACGUAAUGAUUAAUAGGGAUAGUUGGGGGCAUUAGUAUUCAAUUGUCAGAGGUGAAAUUCUUGGAUUUAUUGAAGACUAACUACUGCGAAAGCAUUUGCCAAGGAUGUUUUCAUUAAUCAAGAACGAAAGUUAGGGGAUCGAAGACGAUCAGAUACCGUCGUAGU
rnacentral:rRNA from 1 species